rnacentral:rRNA from 1 species
GGAUGAACGCUGGCGGCGUGCCUAAUACAUGCAAGUCGAGCGAACAGACGAGGAGCUUGCUCCUCUGACGUUAGCGGCGGACGGGUGAGUAACACGUGGAUAACCUACCUAUAAGACUGGGAUAACUUCGGGAAACCGGAGCUAAUACCGGAUAAUAUAUUGAACCGCAUGGUUCAAUAGUGAAAGACGGUUUUGCUGUCACUUAUAGAUGGAUCCGCGCCGCAUUAGCUAGUUGGUAAGGUAACGGCUUACCAAGGCGACGAUGCGUAGCCGACCUGAGAGGGUGAUCGGCCACACUGGAACUGAGACACGGUCCAGACUCCUACGGGAGGCAGCAGUAGGGAAUCUUCCGCAAUGGGCGAAAGCCUGGCGGAGCAACGCCGCGUGAGUGAUGAAGGUCUUCGGAUCGUAAAACUCUGUUAUUAGGGAAGAACAAAUGUGUAAGUAACUAUGCACGUCUUGACGGUACCUAAUCAGAAAGCCACGGCUAACUACGUG